GUCUACGGCCAUGCUACCCUGAACAAGCCCGAUCCUGUCUGAUCUCAGAAGCUAAGCAGGGUUGGGCCUGGUUAGUACUUGGAUGGGAGACCACCUAGGAAGACCAGGUGCUGUAGGCG
rnacentral:rRNA from 1 species